UCCUUCCCCACCCACCAAGCCGCCACCUCCUUCCACUCCUAUGCGGAUGCUCCCAAUCUCCCACGGAGACAUCCUACCCCACCCUUCAUCCCCGGUGACGAGGCACGCUCCACCCUCCAUCCCUGGCGACCACGCGAGGCAUGGCGGAGGGCCUCCUACACCAAGAUGGCUAGAUCCAUCCUGCAACUUCUCCUCCACCUGCACAGGGCCACGGCGGCCGGGCUACGGUGCUGUCAAGCAACGGCGGCGGGGCUGCGACGCUGGUAGCGGAGUAGAAGCAGGACAAGCUGUGGUGGUAUACUGGCGAUGACUUGUGGUGGCCGGAGCUCGGCAUCCCGAGGACCAGGCCCUACCCCCACAAGAAGCUUCAUGCCUCACCUCACAUGAAGAAGUGGAUAGUAGUUGAUUCAUCAACUGGAGGGAGCAAGGAUAGCAGGGGUGAAGGCUGGGUGCUGCUCGCUCGGCACCUAGGCUUAAGCAUGUGUGCAUGCACAUAGUACUCAGGACUUGCCUACUCACCAAUUUGGGGAGCAAUAAUCAAGGCCAACACUCUUCCUUGGAUGCUGUAAGGACUUCUCUAGCUGUAGAGGAGGAGGCGGUAGUGUCCAUCCUCGGUGGUCUGCCAGCAUCAAGCACUACGAGCAGCAGGAAACCUUGGUGGCAGGUCCUGGCAAGUUGGAAGAUGCAGUCAUGACAUGACCACAACUGAAGCCACUUAUAAAAAUUCCAAACAAGCGAUGCCUAAGCACGGCCAGGAAGGCUACAAGUGGUGUUGAAAUGUUAGAAAAUGCUGUAGUACUGCAAGUUUUGAGAUUUUAUGUUCUUCUCAAUGUACAUAUAUACUAUUUCGACGAAUUGCAUGUUUAAUGAAUGAUUUUGUAAUUUGGUUUUAUUGCUUUAUUGAAAUGCAUCGUUGAUGUC